rnacentral:rRNA from 1 species
GACGAACGCUGGCGGCGUGCUUAACACAUGCAAGUCGAGCGGUAAGGCCCUUUCGGGGGUACGACGAGCGGCGAACGGGUGAGUAACACGUGGGUGACCUGCCCUCAGCUCUGGGAUAAGCCUGGGAAACCGGGUCUAAUACCGGAUAUGACUCCAUGACGCAUGUUGUGGGGUGGAAAGCCUUGUGCGGCUGAGGAUGGGCCCGCGGCCUAUCAGCUUGUUGGUGGGGGUGAGGCCUACCAAGGCGACGACGGGUAGCCGGCCUGAGAGGGCGACCGGCC